UGUUUCUGCUUCAAAUUGGUUAACCUGGCAUUCAGAGAACACCAGAACUCAUAGUACCUUCUGUUCUGCCCAGUUCAUAAAGAAAUCUCUGACACGGCACAUUCAAAUUCCUCUGCCUGUUCUUAACUUUCUGAUCACAAAAAUUUUCUUUCCCCACUUUUACAUCUAUUUGCAGUCUUGCCAAUGUAAGUACAUGGGUAAUGUGGUAAGGAGAUCAAUAAACAAAGAUGGAUCCAAGUGCCCUGAAUCUCAUCACUCAUUUAAAAUACUAAUUUUUCUUCCUCAGCUAUGAAGAAGCCAUCACCACCACACUCAGACAACUUAGAUACAUAUUCCUAGACUUCCUCAGUUCCCUUCCGACAGGGGUUUGAGACAUGUCUCCCCUCAGUGAACUCCAGACUGCUGGAACCCUUCAGAGAACAACAGGGGUUCUGUCACAAAGCAGCACCACAUUGAGCAAUUAUCUGCACUGAUUGCAUCCAUGUCACCUGAAGAAGCAAUUCCUUUGCUAACAGGGUAACUGCUCUCAUCAGACAUGGUUUCAAAUCAGGGCAGCUAAGGACUCCUUCCCUCUCUUGUGCAGCAGUACCCUUGCCGUGUGAGUGACCAGGAAUGUGACAGUGUUGGGAAAGGAGAGAGCACAAGGAAUGACAGCAGAGCCCUCCAGAUUCUGGAUACCCUGUCCUUGAUGAACCUAUAUGUCUUCACUGAUACUUUUAAAUAAAUAAAACUCACAGGAAAUCA